UACGUAGGGUGCAAGCGUUGUCCGGAAUUAUUGGGCGUAAAGAGCUCGUAGGCGGUUUGUCGCGUCGGCUGUGAAAACUCGGGGCUCAACCCCGAGCCUGCAGUCGAUACGGGCAGACUAGAGUGCUGUAGGGGAGACUGGAAUUCCUGGUGUAGCGGUGAAAUGCGCAGAUAUCAGGAGGAACACCGGUGGCGAAGGCGGAUCUCUGGGCCGUAACUGACGCUGAGGAGCGAAAGCAUGGGGAGCGAACAGG
rnacentral:rRNA from 1 species